rnacentral:rRNA from 1 species
UACGUAGGGAGCAAGCGUUGUCCGGAAUCAUUGGGCGUAAAGCGCGCGUAGGUGGCUUCGUAAGUCCGUUGUGAAAGUCAAAGGCUCAACCUUUGAAAGCCGAUGGAUACUGCGGAGCCAGAGUACGGAAGAGGCGAGUGGAAUUCCUGGUGUAGCGGUGGAAUGCGCAGAUAUCAGGAGGAACACCAAUAGCGAAGGCAGCUCGCUGGGACGUUACUGACACUGAGGCGCGAAAGCGUGGGGAGCGAACAGG